UGGACGUAUUAUGUUCAUGAUGGGAUGUGUCAUGCAUGAUGAAGGCAUCUCUGAAACUCUGAGGUCCAA